UUGUUGAUGCUGUUGUUGGUGU
rnacentral:miRNA from 1 species